CCUACGGGAGGCAGCAGUGAGGAAUAUUGGUCAAUGGACGCAAGUCUGAACCAGCCAUGUCGCGUGCAGGAAGACGGCCCUAUGAGUUGUAAACUGCUUUUGUACGAGGGUAAACGCAGAUACGCGUAUCUGUCUGAAUGUACCGUAUGAAUAAGGAUCGGCUAACUCCGUGCCAGCAGCCGCGGUAAUACGGAGGAUUCAAGCGUUAUCCGGAUUUAUUGGGUUUAAAGGGUGCGUAGGCGGUCGGUUAAGUUAGGGGUGAAAGCGUGAGGCUCAACCUCGGAAUUGCCUCUGAUACUGGUCGGCUAGAGAGUAGUUGAGGUAGGCGGAAUGUGUGGUGUAGCGGUGAAAUGCUUAGAGAUCAUACAGAACACCGAUUGCGAAGGCAGCUUACCAGGCUGCUACUGACGUUGAGGCACGAAAGCGUGGGGAGCAAACAGGAUUAGAUACCCGGGUAGUC
rnacentral:rRNA from 1 species